AGUGAACGCUGGCGGUAGGCCUAACACAUGCAAGUCGAACGGCAGCACAGUAAGAGCUUGCUCUUACGGGUGGCGAGUGGCGGACGGGUGAGGAAUACAUCGGAAUCUACUUUUUCGUGGGGGAUAACGUAGGGAAACUUACGCUAAUACCGCAUACGACCUACGGGUGAAAGCAGGGGAUCUUCGGACCCUGCGCGAUUGAAUGAGCCGAUGUCGGAUUAGCUAGUUGGCGGGGUAAAGGCCCACCAAGGUGACGAUCCGUAGCUGGUCUGAGAGGAUGAUCAGCCACACUGGAACUGAGACACGGUCCAGACUCCUACGGGAGGCAGCAGUGGGGAAUAUUGGACAAUGGGCGCGAGCCUGAUCCAGCCAUACCGCGUGGGUGAAGAAGGCCUUCGGGUUGUAAAGCCCUUUUGUUGGGAAAGAAAAGCAGCAGGUUAAUACCCCGCUGUUCUGACGGUACCCAAAGAAUAAGCACCGGCUAACUUCGUG
rnacentral:rRNA from 1 species